GAUGAACGCUGGCGGCGUGCUUAACACAUGCAAGUCGAACGAAGCAUUUAAGACAGAUUACUUCGGUUUGAAGUCUUUUAUGACUGAGUGGCGGACGGGUGAGUAACGCGUGGGUAACCUGCCUCAUACAGGGGGAUAGCAGCUGGAAACGGCUGGUAAUACCGCAUAAGCGCACAGUACCACAUGGUACAGUGUGAAAAACUCCGGUGGUAUGAGAUGGACCCGCGUCUGAUUAGCUUGUUGGCGGGGUAACGGCCCACCAAGGCGACGAUCAGUAGCCGACCUGAGAGGGUGACCGGCCACAUUGGGACUGAGACACGGCCCAGACUCCUACGGGAGGCAGCAGUGGGGAAUAUUGCACAAUGGAGGCAACUCUGAUGCAGCGACGCCGCGUGAGUGAAGAAGUAGUUCGCUAUGUAAAGCUCUAUCAGCAGGGAAGAUAGUGACGGUACCUGACUAAGAAGCUCCGGCUAAAUACGUG
rnacentral:rRNA from 1 species